ACUCCUACGGGAGGCAGCAGUGGGGAAUUUUGGACAAUGGGGGGAACCCUGAUCCAGCCAUGCCGCGUGCAGGAUGAAGGCCUUCGGGUUGUAAACUGCUUUUGUACGGAACGAAAAGGUCUUUUCUAAUAAAGAAGGCUGAUGACGGUACCGUAAGAAUAAGCACCGGCUAACUACGUGCCAGCAGCCGCGGUAAUACGUAGGGUGCGAGCGUUAAUCGGAAUUACUGGGCGUAAAGCGUGCGCAGGCGGUUAUGCAAGACAGAUGUGAAAUCCCCGGGCUCAACCUGGGAACUGCAUUAGUGACUGCAUAGCUAGAGUGCGGCAGAGGGGGAUGGAAUUCCGCGUGUAGCAGUGAAAUGCGUAGAUAUGCGGAGGAACACCGAUGGCGAAGGCAAUCCCCUGGGCCUGCACUGACGCUCAUGCACGAAAGCGUGGGGAGCAAACAGGAUUAGAUACCCUGGUAGUCCACGCCCUAAACGAUGUCAACUGGUUGUUGGGGAUUUACUUCCUCAGUAACGAAGCUAACGCGUGAAGUUGACCGCCUGGGGAGUACGGCCGCAAGGUUAAAACUCACAGGAAUUGACGGGGACCCGCACAAGCGGUGGAUGAUGUGGUUUAAUUCGAUGCACGCGAAAACCUUACCCACCUUUGACAUGUACUGAAGAUCGCAGAGACGCGAUUGUGCUCGAAAGACAGCCGUAACACAGUGCUGCAU
rnacentral:rRNA from 1 species